rnacentral:rRNA from 1 species
AGUGAACGCUGGCGGUAGGCCUAACACAUGCAAGUCGAACGGCAGCACAGUAAGAGCUUGCUCUUACGGGUGGCGAGUGGCGGACGGGUGAGGAAUACAUCGGAAUCUACUUUUUCGUGGGGGAUAACGUAGGGAAACUUACGCUAAUACCGCAUACGACCUACGGGUGAAAGCAGGGGAUCUUCGGACCUUGCGCGAUUGAAUGAGCCGAUGUCGGAUUAGCUAGUUGGCGGGGUAAAGGCCCACCAAGGCGACGAUCCGUAGCUGGUCUGAGAGGAUGAUCAGCCACACUGGAACUGAGACACGGUCCAGACUCAUACGGGAGGCAGCAGUGGGGAAUAUUGGACAAUGGGCGCAAGCCUGAUCCAGCCAUACCGCGUGGGUGAAGAAGGCCUUCGGGUUGUAAAGCCCUUUUGUUGGGAAAGAAAAGCAGCAGGUUAAUACCCCGCUGUUCUGACGGUACCCAAAGAAUAAGCACCGGCUAACUUCG